GACGAACGCUGGCGGCGUGCUUAACACACGCAAGUCGAACGGUAAGGCCCUUCGGGGUACACGAGUGGCGAACGGGUGAGUAACACGUGGGUGAUCUGCCAUGCACUUCGGGAUAAGCCUGGGAAACUGGGUCUAAUACCGGAUAGGACUCCGGACUGCAUGGUCUGGGGUGGAAAGCUUUUGCGGUGGGGGAUGGGCCCGCGGCCUAUCAGCUUGUUGGUGGGGUGAUGGCCUACCAAGGCGACGACGGGUAGCCGGCCUGAGAGGGUGACCGGCCACACUGGGACUGAGAUACGGCCCAGACUCCUACGGGAGGCAGCAGUGGGGAAUAUUGCACAAUGGGCGCAAGCCUGAUGCAGCGACGCCGCGUGAGGGAUGACGGCCUUCGGGUUGUAAACCUCUUUCAGCAUCGACGAAGCGAAAGUGACGGUAGGUGCAGAAGAAGGACCGGCCAACUACGUGCCAGCAGCCGCCGUUAA
rnacentral:rRNA from 1 species